CAGAUUGAACGCUGGCGGCAGGCCUAACACAUGCAAGUCGAACGGUAACAGGAAGAAGCUUGCUUCUUUGCUGACGAGUGGCGGACGGGUGAGUAAUGUCUGGGAAACUGCCUGAUGGAGGGGGAUAACUACUGGAAACGGUAGCUAAUACCGCAUAACGUCGCAAGACCAAAGAGGGGGACCUUCGGGCCUCUUGCCAUCGGAUGUGCCCAGAUGGGAUUAGCUAGUAGGUGGGGUAACGGCUCACCUAGGCGACGAUCCCUAGCUGGUCUGAGAGGAUGACCAGCCACACUGGAACUGAGACACGGUCCAGACUCCUACGGGAGGCAGCAGUGGGGAAUAUUGCACAAUGGGCGCAAGCCUGAUGCAGCCAUGCCGCGUGUAUGAAGAAGGCCUUCGGGUUGUAAAGUACUUUCAGCGGGGAGGAAGGGAGUAAAGUUAAUACCUUUGCUCAUUGACGUUACCCGCAGAAGAAGCACCGGCUAACUCCGUGCCAGCAGCCGCGGUAAUACGGAGGGUGCAAGCGUUAAUCGGAAUUACUGGGCGUAAAGCGCACGCAGGCGGUUUGUUAAGUCAGAUGUGAAAUCCCCGGGCUCAACCUGGGAACUGCAUCUGAUACUGGCAAGCUUGAGUC
rnacentral:rRNA from 1 species